rnacentral:rRNA from 1 species
AAUGAACGCUGGCGGCAGGCCUAACACAUGCAAGUCGAGCGAAGUCUUCGGACUUAGCGGCGGACGGGUGAGUAACGCGUGGGAACGUACCUUUUGCUUCGGAAUAGCCUCGGGAAACUGGGAGUAAUACCGAAUGUGCCCUACGGGGGAAAGAUUUAUCGGCAAAAGAUCGGCCCGCGUUGGAUUAGGUAGUUGGUGGGGUAAUGGCCUACCAAGCCGACGAUCCAUAGCUGGUUUGAGAGGAUGAUCAGCCACACUGGGACUGAGACACGGCCCAGACUCCUACGGGAGGCAGCAGUGGGGAAUCUUAGACAAUGGGCGCAAGCCUGAUCUAGCCAUGCCGCGUGAUCGAUGAAGGCCUUAGGGUUGUAAAGCUCUUUUACCAGGGAUGAUAAUGACAGUACCUGGAGAAUAAGCUCCGGCUAACUCCGUGCCAGCAGCCGCGGUAAU